GUAAAUUCUAAGGAACAAUUGGAAAAUUUAAGAGUAGAUAAUAGAUUGAUGAGGUCUAAUUUAAGCUUAAUAGAUGGUGGCUUGAUCCCUCAAAAAGUCGUAAGUUGUUUUUGUCUCAUUCCAAAUACCCUACAUCAAAUGUAUGUUACAGUUUUUCAAGGUUGAAGCAACCUCUCCUUUAAUCAUCAAAACUUCCUAGCUGCUUUUGAAUUAGGCCAUACCGGUGUGAGGAUAACCAAUUCUCAAACAAUAUAUGAAAUUUUUAUUCAGUGAUCCUUAUCGAGUGGCCUUUUGUUAUGC
rnacentral:misc_RNA from 1 species